rnacentral:rRNA from 1 species
CAAUCCCCUUUUAGAGCCCAUAUCGACAAGGGGGUUUACGACCUCGAUGUUGGAUCAGGACAUCCUAAUGGUGCAGCCGCUAUUAAGGGUUCGUUUGUUCAACGAUUAAAGUCCUACG